rnacentral:rRNA from 1 species
ACGCACGCUGGCGGCGUGCUUCACACAUGCCAGUCGAACGGAAAGGCCCUGCUUGCAGGGUACUCGAGUGGCGAACGGGUGAGUAACACGUGGGUGAUCUGCCCUGCACUUCGGGAUAAGCCUGGGAAACUGGGUCUAAUACCGGAUAGGAGCCAUUUUUAGUGUGAUGGUUGGAAAGUUUUUUCGGUGUAGGAUGAGCCCGCGGCCUAUCAGCUUGUUGGUGGGGUAAUGGCCUACCAAGGCGGCGACGGGUAGCCGGCCUGAGAGGGUGGACGGCCACAUUGGGACUGAGAUACGGCCCAGACUCCUACGGGAGGCAGCAGUGGGGAAUAUUGCACAAUGGGCGCAAGCCUGAUGCAGCGACGCCGCGUGGGGGAUGACGGCCUUCGGGUUGUAAACUCCUUUCGCUAGGGACGAAGCUUUUUGUGACGGUACCUAGAUAAGAAGCACCGGCUAACUACGUG